rnacentral:lncRNA from 1 species
ACGGGGGCCGGACCCGGAAGUUCCGGGCCGGGUGCCAGGUGCCAGUAAGUCGUGUAAGGUUUACGUGGAAACUGGGGUCAUGGCUGCUCCCGGCCCAGCGCUCUGCCUCUUCGACGUGGACGGGGCUCUGACCGCUCCCAGGCAGAAAAUUACCGAAGACAUGGAUUGCUUUCUACAAGAACUGAGGCAGAAGAUCAAAAUUGGCGUCGUGGGCGGGUCGGACUUUGAGAAAGUACAAGAGCAACUGGGAAACGACGUGGUUGAAAAAUACGAUUACGUGUUUCCAGAAAAUGGCUUGGUAGCAUACAAAGAUGGGAAACUCGUGUCUAAACAGAAUAUUCAAGGUCACCUGGGUGAGGCCCUGAUUCAAGAUUUAAUCAACUACUGUCUGAGCUACAUUGCGAAAAUUAAGCUCCCAAAGAAGAGGGGUACCUUCAUUGAAUUCCGAAACGGGAUGUUGAACGUGUCUCCCAUCGGAAGGAGCUGCAGCCAAGAAGAACGCAUUGAGUUCUACGAACUUGACAAAAAAGAAAAUAUCAGACAAAAAUUCGUGGAGGAUCUGCGGCAAGAGUUUGCAGGGAAAGGCCUCACAUUUUCCAUAGGAGGCCAGAUCAGCUUUGAUGUCUUCCCCGACGGCUGGGACAAGAGGUACUGCCUGGGGCACGUGGAGAAGGACGGCUAUAAGACCAUUUAUUUCUUUGGAGACAAAACUAUGCCUNNNNNNNNNNNNNNNNNNNNNNNNNNNNNNNNNNNNNNNNNNNNNNNNNNNNNNNNNNNNNNNNNNNNNNNNNNNNNNNNNNNNNNNNNNNNNNNNNNNNNNNNNNNNNNNNNNNNNNNNNNNNNNNNNNNNNNNNNGGCCAUGCUGGAGGGGGGCCACCCCCCCCCCAAACCGUGCCGGCCUGCAAGCCCUCACUGCAGCCCCUGCUCUUCCUGAGCAGAAGGGAGAAGGAAAGCCUUGUCUAAACUCAAAAUAGAUUAAAGACUGAAGUGUGAGACCUGCAGCCACGUAACUCCCGGGAGAAAGGCGCGGCGGCACCGUCUCUGACAUCCCCUGAGCAAUGACCUCUCUGGACCUGUCUCCCGCGGCAUGGGGAACAAAGGCCAGAAUAAACAAGUGGCACUGCAUCCAACUGAAACUCUUCUGCACAGCAAAGGAAACCAUCAACAAAAUGGAAAGGCGACAUGCUGAAUGGGAGAAGGUACGGGCAGGUCGCAAAGCCGACAAGGAGUUCGUAUCCGCAAAAGACAGAGGAGGAUGCAGACAACCCACUAUCAGAAAAAGCAGCCCAAGUAAAAGAUGGGCACAGGACCUCACAGGUACUUCUCCAAGGAAGACGUACACAUGGCCGGCAGGUAGACAGCGGCCUCAGGGAAGCGAGCGUCAGAACCACGGCAAGGGAGCGCCUCGCACCUGUCCGAACGGCAGUCGCCACCAAGACGUCCAGCGACAAGAACUGGCAACGCUGUGGGGCGGCCCCUGCCUCCCCCGCUGAGGCGAAGCGAGCCCAGUACUGCCACUGCGGACCCUGCGUGGAGGUUCUUCAGAACAGUGGGCAUGAAACCACGGUACAGUCCAGGAAGAAGGAAAAACGCUUGUCAGGAGGGGUUCACGGGACCACCUCCACCAAGGGGUGUUUUGUGCCACCCAGCCCAGCCCUGGUCGGGGCACUCCGUCUACCCGGGGCGCAUGGUUUGCCAUCAUCCUACUGCAGACAGAACGCUGGGGCCCUCCCUGCUCCUGGGUCUUGCGGACAAUGUAACCACAUCCCCAACGGGACCCCCGGCAUCGCUACCAGAAAGGGGGCUUUGGUGAUGAGAAAGGACAGGACGCUUCACGACCUCCAACCCCAGGGCAGACGGUUCAAAACUUGUGGAAGUGAAGGAGUGCGGCAUUGCACCGGCCUGUGGUCAUCAGACGGACUCAGCCGAAUGACCGUGCCGCCUGCACGUGGCAGCAGCUGGCCGAGUGACCACCGCCCCAAGGACUUUGCACCCCACGGGCCCAGGAUGCAGGGGAGCCCUAUGUCCACCACACUGUGAAGAGCCCCAAGGGGUGGGUGGUAAGGGACCCAGCGUUCCUCCCCUGCCCAAGCCCGGGGUAGCACUGGGGGCAGCACACUACACCCCAGAAGCAGUUCCCAGGGCUGUUCGCCCUCCUUCUCAGGGAUCAGGAAAGGGCCUGAACUCCUCACAGACCAGGGGCUGCACUGUUUCUCUGCUGAUCUCUGAGCACAUCCACCCAGGCCUCCCUCACCCAGCCUUUGACCUGAGGGCUGGAAGCAGCCGGGUUGGACCUGCAGCUCUCCCUCUGCCCCCCGUGCGGUCCUCACGAAAGUGGAAGGCAGCCCUGGUCCAGAGCAGAGCCUUCCAAGAAAACGGUUCACAUGUCACUUCUCAGCAUCUGGAAACGUUGGGACCCACAGUCCUGCCACAGGCUGGUGCUGGGCCUCUGCUGGGGGCUGGCGGACCCGAAACCCAAUGGGGGGGCUCUGAUUACCCCACCUCCCCACCCCCUUCAUCACGGAGGAGCCUGUUCCCCACGCCUCCCCCGGCCCUGCCGGGCGUCCCUCAGGAUCAGCACAGGUGACAGCAAGAAGCAGGCUGUGAGGUCAGCCCCCGCGCCCUCCUCCCACCCCCUGACCACACACAGGGGAGAGGUUUCCCAGUGGCUCCCGGGACCCCCAUCCAGUGGCAUCUUUUCCUGGUUGAAUUUUACAAAUGAUACUGUAAUGACCUUCCAAAAUGACAAGGAGCAAAUUAAAGUGAUUCUGAGGUUUCCUGUUC